AUCGUUCUGAAGCGACUAAGAGCA
rnacentral:snRNA from 1 species